rnacentral:rRNA from 1 species
GAUGAACGCUGGCGGCGUGCCUAAUACAUGCAAGUCGAGCGAACAGACGAGGAGCUAGCUCCUCUGACGUUAGCGGCGGACGGGUGAGUAACACGUGGAUAACCUACCUAUAACACUGGGAUAACUUCGGGAAACCGGAGCUAAUACCGGAUAAUAUAUUGAACCGCAUGGUUCAAUAGUGAAAGACGGUUUUGCUGUCACUUAUAGAUGGAUCCGCGCCGCAUUAGCUAGUUGGUAAGGUAACGGCUUACCAAGGCAACGAUGCGUAGCCGACCUGAGAGGGUGAUCGGCCACACUGGAACUGAGACACGGUCCAGACUCCUACGGGAGGCAGCAGUAGGGAAUCUUCCGCAAUGGGCGAAAGCCUGACGGAGCAACGCCGCGUGAGUGAUGAAGGUCUUCGGAUCGUAAAACUCUGUUAUUAGGGAAGAACAAAUGUGUAAGUAACUAUGCACGUCUUGACGGUACCUAAUCAGAAAGCCACGGCUAACUACGUG